rnacentral:rRNA from 1 species
AGCGAACGCUGGCGGCAGGCCUAACACAUGCAAGUCGAACGAACCUUUCGGGGUUAGUGGCGGACGGGUGAGUAACACGUGGGAACGUGCCUUUAGGUUCGGAAUAACUCAGGGAAACUUGUGCUAAUACCGAAUGUGCCCUUCGGGGGAAAGAUUUAUCGCCUUUAGAGCGGCCCGCGUCUGAUUAGCUAGUUGGUUGAGGUAAUGGCUCACCAAGGCGACGAUCAGUAGCUGGUCUGAGAGGAUGAUCAGCCAUAUUGGGACUGAGACACGGCCCAAACUCCUACGGGAGGCAGCAGUGGGGAAUCUUGCGCAAUGGGCGAAAGCCUGACGCAGCCAUGCCGCGUGAAUGAUGAAGGUCUUAGGAUUGUAAAAUUCUUUCACCGGGGACGAUAAUGACGGUACCCGGAGAAGAAGCCCCGGCUAACUUCGUG